rnacentral:pre_miRNA from 2 species
CCAAACCGUCUGCGUGUGCUUCUUUUGUUACUGAUGGUGCUGUCGGUCCAUAUUCGUUAAGCCAGCGUCAUCAGUGGCAACAGCCGCACCGCAACCCAACCCCCAGAAGAACGAGUAUGG